CCCUUCCUGGGGGGCUGCACAGAUCUUCCUGACCUCCUGGAUUUUGGGUUGCAAGGUGCUAUGCUUGGGCUGAUGCUGACCUUGGAAAUUUUGCCACCACCUCUUCUGGGACCUGGCCAGAGCCCCGGGCAUCUUCCAGUGUUGUCCUUUCCUUCCUGAGCAGCAGCCUCUGAGCUCAGCAGGCAGGAUUAUUGAUUCAACACGCUGAUUGUGUCCUGUGUGAAUUCAUCUCCUGAACACCUGCACCAGGAGACUGGGCUCCAUGUUUUUGCCCCCCUCCCACUGGCGUCCCGAAUUUUUUUUGAAUUGCAAGAAGAUGCUUCUGCUCAUGGAAACUUGGCGGGUGAUGGGGCCCUUGGAAAUAGGGACCGGAUUUUGUUGUUGUUCAGAGUGAAUCGAAUGGCAUGUGGAGGCCUUGCAAAAACCAGAAUCUUUAUUUCCCGUUGCUCGAGGAGCACGUGAUUAGGGCUGGAUAAAGGACCUCGGUGUCCCUGCUGAUUUCGGUUGUGCUCUCACAACUGUGAGUGCCGUGCCUGUGAAAAGCAAUCGACUUCCCAGCUGUUUCUUAUCACAGAUGUAGCAUGUCAGGAGGAAAAGCCCCAUGUGUGACCUGAGACAUCCCACAUUUCUGAAGUGUCUGAGAUACUUAAUGCUUUUGUCGAACUGAUCCCCAAUCUCUUUUCAUCACGUUGAAGUUAUGGCAUGCUCUGAUGACCACAGAGCCCAUGGCAAUGCUGAGUUCUGGCUGUACGAUUAAACUGUGUGAAGUGCUUCACCCAUUUACGUGACAGUUAUCAUAUGUUUUCUUAUUGGUAUUUACUACUAUGUUACCUCUAUUUCUGCUCAUAAAUGAGCAUGUGGCUGCAAAAGUAGAGAGGGGAGAAGAGAGUGAGUCAAAUUUGUCCUCUUGCCCUACACAGGGAAAAAGAUGUAGUGCAUAGGCACCGAGCCAUUCCUUGUCACACGGUCGGGAUCAUCCUCCGUGAAUAGUUUUCCAUCUAGAAUUUGCUGAUCUGCUUUGCUGGUAUUUUUUUGACCACACUUCUUUGUUUAUUCCCCAACCACUUCAGAUGAGCAAAAAUUGCGCUGGCAAGAACAUUUGUGGGAAAGCAGCAUCACGUUGCAUACUUGUGCGAAUAAAUAUUCACAAGAGAAUCCACGUUGAGAGCGCUUGCACGGCCGCUUGCGAAUUCUCUUCCGAUUACUCACCAAAGAGACUUGUUGAAUGUUUAUAGUUGUUUGGUGGGCAACUGGCAAACAAGUUGGGAAGACUUGUAAUUUGUCUAAGCCUUUGAUGGUCAAGUCUUGGAUAGAAGUGAAAGCAUCUGGCCUGGGUUGACUAAUUGAGUGGCACUGGUAGCCCGGACUCCUAGCAACUCAUUUCUGUCUGUAGCAACUCCAGUUUGUGUGUUCAGGCUAUUCAUCAGAGCUAAAGGCUGGAGAAAUAUGUGGAAGAAUUGCAGUCUGUUUAUAGAUUGUUAUGACUUAAAUUAAGAGCUGGAUUUGCUGGAUAAAUGAACAGAGCAUUAUGUGGCCAACAUUAGGGAAACGUGAAGACUUUACCUUUCAGUUUUGAGUGUUCUUGAAGCAAUUACCAGUUAAUGCCUGUGCCUCUGGAGAGCUGUUACUGAAUGAUGAUUAUCUCUUGGGAGUCCCAAAUUCUCUGCUCUGAGUGCCCUGCACUGAUGGAUACUUUUAUCUGGUUUUCUGCUUCUCUGCUUGCAAAGUACUGGGAAAAGCAGGUGUUGCCUUUGAUACUUGGAUAGAUUGGGCUUCACAACUGAGUAAAUUAUCACUACUUGAUUGCUUGCUCUGUUUUCCUGUAGUGAAGAAGAAAGCACUAAUAAACUGUUCCAGCUGCGGUUCUGUAGGCAAACAUGGGUUUUGGUGGAUGCUUUUUAAAUGGAGGUCAACUGUCAAACAAAAGUUUUCUCAUUCUUUAAGGAUUUGGUUGACAAAGGUAGCUGAAAUAAAGUUGGAUGUUUUCCUGAAGUGCUGGAUGUGUAUCUGGAGAAAGCAAUUAGCAUUUUACAGGAUGAAGCGCACACACCAAAUGGAUUAAGAAUUGGCUGAUACAUCUGAAAGAGUAGUCAUCGUCGGGGAGCCCUCGUGAAAUGAGAGGUUGCUUGUUGGGCUUCGUGGAGCUUGGCGCACUGUUAUUCCAUCAUCUCAUCGGCGACCUAAAGUCAUGAUAAAAUUACUGCUGAUGAAGCUUUUGUACAGCUCACGCUUUGGCUGGCAAGUGCAUAGUGGUGACUAAAGAAGUAAUGCCGUGUAGUCUGGAAGGCUUGGUAAGCUCAGCCCGCGGAAAUGAAACGUGCUUUGAUGCAGAUGUAGCUCUACAUCUGGGAGCAAGGCAGGCAAGCGGUACCGAUGGCACUGCUGGCUGCGCCGCAGAAAUAAAUGCCUUUGUGAACGGCAGAAUGAGCUCCCAGUGUACCAGGCUGGCAAAAAAAGGCCAGCGUGAUGCUGGGAUCUGUAUGCAGGAGAGCCUUGUGUUCCCCCUCCAAACCCUGUGCGUUUGGUCUUUUUUUUUUUUUCCCCUUCAAAAGGAUGUCAAUAAACAGAAGUCAAUGUGGAAGAGGGCUAGAAAAAUUAUUUGAGAGCUGGGGAAAGCAAGAUAUUGAAAAGCUCUUAAUCGACGGAAUUUAUAUAUAUAUAAAAAAAAUGAAGUGACUUGAUAUUUAUGCACUGAUCGUUUUGAGAGAGAAGAUUUUGGAAACAAAAGGAAAAGAUAUAGUGAGAAUCCUAGCUGGAGGCUAAAACCCAACACAUUCAAACUUGGAUGCAAAGCACGUGUUUCUGAGUAUGAAUGCCGCAGAGGAUUUACUGUCUCUUGGUGCUUGUCAAAUCAAGCUUGCGUGCAUGGGGGACGGGUGCUUUUGCCAGGACCCAAAUGAAGCUUUAAUUGAAGGGCUUUAGUUCUUGGCCUUUAUAGAGCCAGGUGAGUGGGUGAAAUGUAAUGGUUGGGGUGAUGCAGGAGGUCAGAACAGAUGAUAUCAUGGUCCUUUCAGGACUCAAAGCUUUAGGAAUAAAUGCAUUUGAAAAUCGUGUUGUAUUCUAGUGGAAAGGACUGGCGUUCCUUGAGAUUAAAAGGAGAGAUUGACUUGC